rnacentral:rRNA from 1 species
UACGAAGGGGGCUAGCGUUGCUCGGAAUCACUGGGCGUAAAGCGCACGUAGGCGGCUUCUUAAGUCAGGGGUGAAAUCCUGGAGCUCAACUCCAGAACUGCCUUUGAUACUGAGGAGCUUGGAGUCCGGGAGAGGUGAGUGGAACUGCGAGUGUAGAGGUGAAAUUCGUAGAUAUUCGCCAAGAACACCAGUGGCGAAGGCGCUCACUGGCCCGGUAUGACGCUGAGGUGCGAAAGCGUGGGGAGCAAAC